rnacentral:rRNA from 1 species
GACGAACGCUGGCGGCGUGCUUAACACAUGCAAGUCGAACGAAGUGGCGAAUGGGUGAGUAACGCGUAAUCAACCUGCCCUUCAGAGGGGGACAACAGUUGGAAACGACUGCUAAUACCGCAUACUGAAGGAGGGGAUUGCGUCUGAUUAGCUAGUUGGAGGGGUAACGGCCCACCAAGGCGAUGAUCAGUAGCCGGGCUGAGAGGAUGAACGGCCAAAUUGGGACGGAGACACGGCCCAGACUCCUACGGUCGGCAGCAGGGGGGAAUCUUGCGCAAUGGACGAAAGUCUGACGGAGCAACGCCGCGUGAGUGAGGACGGCUGUCGGGUUGUAAAGCUCUGUUAAUCGGGACGCGGUACCGGAAUAGAAAGCCACGGCUAACUACGUGCCAGCAGCCGCGGUAAUAC